GGGGAAAUAGCUCAGUUGGUUAGAGUGCUGGUCUGUCACACCAGAGGUCAUGGGUUCGAACCCCGUUUUCCCUG
rfam:Triticum urartu cultivar G1812 contig803366, whole genome shotgun sequence.